UUUAAUUAACUUGGGGUUGUAUAGCUUCUUGUGGUGGUGUCUGACACCUGCCGCUUCGGAGAGCAAAGUGAUUCUCAAAGUAUGGUAAAGUUGAGCACAUUAGAGGUCACCGUUGCCUUUGGGAUCACAGAACAGCUGAUUACAGCAAGAAAGGCAUGAAGAGGACAGCAUAUGAUGCAGUCACGUGCAGUUUGAGGAAACAUUCGUUUCCUCCUUAAACACAUUUUAAGGUGUAAAAAAGCCGCGGCUUGCGGGGGUGAAUGAGGAACCAUGUUUGUUUACAAUCGACAAACGCGGAAAAGGCGGAAGGAAGCUUGUGUGUGACGGCCACCGUCUGCAAAAGUUGACAGUCGUCAGAAAAUUAACAAAAAAAGAAGACGGAAAAGUGCUAGUGUGACGCCGCCUUUUUUUUUAAAGAGGGAUUCUGCUUAACACCUAGUGAAGCACUCAACAGUCAAUGCUCACUGCUGGGUGGACUGGACUAGAGAGAGGGUGUGUGCAUGGAGAUCGCCCAUCUUUCUCUGUUCUUCCAGCAGGAACUUACCAAACUUGGGAUAUCUAGACUGUCAACCGAGUGUUAUAAACUUAUAACCAUUGCACUACGAGGGGUACUUGUGCUCCACGUAUAUUAAUCCAACAUUUGACACACACACACACACACACACACACACACUGCAGCAUACAACACAGGUUAUGAAUAAAACCUUUUACCAUACAUAUGGCAGCUGUAUGGUAGUAAGAACACAUUAUGUGGUGUUACUGGUUGAGUGCAUUCUUGGAGAUAGCAUCGAGUUCCGUGACAUGCAAGACUAUCUAGGACUAGGUGAACAAGAAGGUUAACAUCAGCUAUAAUUCAAGUAUUGAAGAGAACAUUGGUUGAGGAAGCCAACUGAAUGUUACUGGGAAGUGGCAGUUCAGCUAACCUCUUCAGGAAGACUGCCAUGGCUGAUGAUGGCUUAUUUGGCAGGGUGACAGCACCUGGAUCUCCCCACCCCUAAGUGGAGCCUCCUCAGUGGCACAGAAAUUCACUCCUGACACUCCAAGACCCAGAUGACGACCUCGUCUCCUGCACCAAGACCAGAAUAUCAAGUAUAAUAAUGUCAGAUAAUAAAAUAUACUUUAUAUGAUUAAAAUCUAGGGAAGAUUAAGAGAAAUCAAAUAGUGAGGAUGAUAACAAAAACUCAUUACUAGUCAGAAGGGGAACACAAACAAAAUAGCAGGUGAUUAACUAUGGAUGAUUUUUGUUUCAGAAAUUGACAACAUCAUCCUAAACGUAUUAAAGACCUCUUUGACUAACCAGAAUUAAAUUGAAAUGAUGCUGUGGGAGUGGAAGAAGCAUGAAGAGUUUGUAUUUGAUUUUGUAUGUUCAGGGAUACAGAUUUCAAGCAAUUUGUGAUUCUGUGGUAGUGGGAGGUGAUGGUUUCAGUUCUUCUUUAUCUAUUUGCCAAGUUAGUCCCGUAAUGUGAUGCUCUACUCUGAUAUUUAUCAACUAGUUACACAAUCUCCUGUUUUAAGAUCACUCUUCUCAUACACCAUUAUAUUCAUGCAGAAACUGUGGAAAAAUAGAAGCAGACCCUAACCUCUGGAUGAACUGCUCAAUGUUCAGCAGUGUGAUCUUGGUGAGGACAGGUCCAGAGUGACAGGGGUAGUGAGGGGAGCAGGUCCAAGAGAGAUGAGCAGCCUGUGCUGUGCCCAAGUCCCUGGAGUGCUGCAGUAGGAAGGUGCGGGGUUGCCUAGGUUGAAACUGACUUGAAGACCUGAUAGAAGAAAGAAACUCACUACACAUAACAUCAAACUCUUCUCAUACAGGUACUGUACAUUUAAAUGAAUGCCAUAAGUAAUUACGGUAUUCAUCUGUUUCAUAUAAAGACAGGUAUGUACGUGUAUACAUAUACACAUAUUUCUUCAUGGAGGAGAUGCAUACAAGUAUACAUGUGUAUGUGUAUAAGCAUAAUUAGAAGAAUAUUAUUUUGGUGGUGCAGAAUUAGCAUUAUAGACAAUUAUGGAUGACUUAAGACAGACAGGAUACCAAAAAUACUUAAUAUACAGAAUACUGUACAAGAGUUAUAAAAGAAAAUUACAGACAAUAUUCCAGAAUAGGAAAGGUUUAAAAAAUUAAUGUAAUAUAAGAUUUUUAUCUGAAAAACCAGAAAAAUGUGAAAAUGUGUGGUUAGUAUUUAUAAAUUUAGAAAUAUUAAAUUACAUUCAAGAAGUACGCAUCUUGAUAUGAAGACAUAAAUGCUACUAUUAGCUGAUGACAAGUGAUCUACAUGAUUAUCAUUCAGUUUCCUGCAGUUCGGUGUAUGGAAAUCUAAAUGCCCUGUUCAGCAUGCUAUUAGGCCUAUUUAGCAUCUAUCUUGAUUUAAAGAGCUAAAAGAGUUUCAAAGGAAUGCCAAUGGAGUUGUAAAAUUUCGUGAAAAACAUCUGCAGGUAGACAGGUAAGAACAUUAAUUAAGAAAGGCCUCUUGUAAAACAAUGCUGAGUCAAUAUCUUUUGCCACACAUAUGUGUCCUCUUCCAUCCCCAUGAAAAUACCAAAAAACUGAUCUGAAGAAAGAAAAUAGAUGUAAACCUGAAACAACACAUUGCACAAGUGCCAAUAGUGAUCACCAAAGUGGAUAUCAUUCAGGUGUUCCCAAACCUUUUAGCUCGUUGACCCCCGAAUGAAGUCCCAAAUUUCUAUUGUCCCCUAUCUUUUAAUUCAAGGAAAAUAAUUUUAGUAUAAUGACAAAAUCCAUAUGCAGUAGUAGUAGUAGUAGUAGUAGUAGUAGUAGUAGUAGUAGUAGUAGUAGUAGUAGUAGUAGUAGUAGUAGUAGUAGUAGUAGUAGUAGUAGUAGUUUUUUACAUCAAUGAUGGCUGCCAAAGAAAAAAAUACAUAAUAAAAACAGCCAUUUACCACUCCAUAGAGAAAAACAACUUGGUUUAUCAUAAUCAAAUCAUAAUCUAGAUUAUAAAAUCUACAGAUGGAAGCUUCAAUGGUCCCUUCAACCCCAGCAGUAAUUAAUAUUCACUGUCCUUCCUGGUUACUUUAUUCAUUGACCUUCUUUUGACCCCCUGGAUAUUCAUCAAUGCCCUUUUGACCCUUUGGAUAUUCACUGAUCCCCGGGGGGAUCAAUAUUGACCAUUUUGAGAAUUAGUGAUUUAAGCUAAAAUGUAAAUAAGUAUCCUUGUACAGAGACAGGGAAAUACAUAUUGAAAUAAAAACCUUAAUGUUUAAUUUCUUAUUUGUGGCAUUAACCAAUGAUGUGCAAAGGAAGAGGCCUUUGUACACACUUCAAUUUGUUUCAUGUAUUUGCUUGCACUACUGUAUUAUAACUGAAAACAUGCACGUGAUCUCAAUGAGUAAAAGAUUGAAAAGUU